rnacentral:rRNA from 1 species
AUAUCCUACGGGGGGCAGCAGUGAGGAAUAUUGGUCAAUGGGCGGAAGCCUGAACCAGCCAAGUAGCGUGCAGGAUGACGGCUCUACGGGUUGUAAACUGCUUUUAUACGGGAAUAACGCGCCUUACGUGUAGGGCUUUGCAUGUACCGUAUGAAUAAGGACCGGCUAAUUCCGUGCCAGCAGCCGCGGUAAUACGGAAGGUCCGGGCGUUAUCCGGAUUUAUUGGGUUUAAAGGGAGCGUGGGCCGCAUGACAAGCGUGCUGGGAAAUGUCGG